rnacentral:rRNA from 1 species
UGGGGAAUCUUGCGCAAUGGGCGAAAGCCUGACGCAGCAACGCCGCGUGCGGGAUGAAGGCCCUAGGGUCGUAAACCGCUUUCGGCAGGGAAGAAAAUGACGGUACCUGCAGAAGAAGCCCCGGCCAACUACGUGCCAGCAGCCGCGGUAAUACGUAGGGGGCGAGCGUUGUCCGGAUUUAUUGGGCGUAAAGAGCUCGUAGGCGGUUGACUAAGUCAGGUGUGAAAACUCAGGGCCCAACUCUGAGCGUGCACUUGAUACUGGUCUGACUAGAGUCAAGUAGGGGAGUGUGGAAUUCCCAGUGUAGCGGUGAAAUGCGCAGAUAUUGGGAGGAACACCAGCAGCGAAGGCGGCACUCUGGGCUUGUACUGACGCUGAGGAGCGAAAGCAUGGGUAGCAAACAGG